rnacentral:lncRNA from 1 species
UGAAAAUAUGAGCUUGCCGCAAAUUUGCGACAAAUUGGUCAAAGGUUUGCCACAACUGUUUGCUGGAAGCCUGUUAUUGAACUCAACCUGUAGGAGGUUUGUUUGUUGUUAUUGACUGGAGGGGAAACAGCUGCGGGCAAAGUUCUGACAGAUCGGUUCCCAAGGGAACAAACUUUUCAGGUUUUCGCCGAUGACCCUCUCUGCAGACUGGACAAUAAGUUGCCAUUUGCCCUUGCAGUGGGAUCCAAACCCAACGGUGAUGUAAGAGUUUAUUAGGUACACCCCAUUUGCCGCCAGAACAGCCUGAAUUCUUCGGGGGCAUUCUACACGGUGUCGGAAAAGUUCCACAGAGAUGUUGGUCCAUUCUGGCUCGAUGGACGGCGCUACAAUCAUGCUGCGAACAGCCGGUUUCAUCUCAUGAUCCAUUUGGGUUGAGGUCUUGGGUGACUGCACAGGCCACUCAGCUGAUAGAAGUUGAACCCGGUGUGGUCGUCUCCAUCCCAUCCAGGACAGACGAGAUGGCAUUCUGCACACCACUGUUGCACAGCUCCGUUAUUUGCCUGUUUGUGGACCGCCUGUUAGCUUGCAGGGACUCUUGUCCUUCUCCUUCGACCUCUCAUCAACGAGCUGUUUUCACCCACAGGACUGCAGCUGACUGGAUGUUUUUUUGUUUGUUGCACCAUUCUCAGUAAAAACCUAGACACUGUCGUGCUUGAAAAGCCCAGUAGGGCGACCGUUUCUGAGAUACUGGAUCUGGCGAGCCCGGCACCGAGGGGAGGGUUUCUUCGGUGUGUCUGUGCUAUUCAUUCACACCAAACAAGUUCAGUAGCUGCUGAUUAGCUGAUUGCUGACGGGCCUGGAGCUGGUUGCUGACGGGCUGGUCCUGGGGCUGGCUAAGGAUCAAACUCAUCCUCUUCUUCCAACUGACAGUCAGAUUCCAAAUUGACAGAGACAAAAACAAUCCUAAGGCCCUCUGAGUAAAGAUUAUUUUUGCCAUACUGAUUGAGUGUGGUAAGGAGCCACUAUUAGCCGAUAUUUAUUUGUUGUGUCCCUCUCACAAUUUACACAUGGCUGGGGUAGAGUUGGG